AGUGAACGCUGGCGGUAGGCCUAACACAUGCAAGUCGAACGGCAGCACAGGAGAGCUUGCUCUCUGGGUGGCGAGUGGCGGACGGGUGAGGAAUACAUCGGAAUCUACUCUGUCGUGGGGGAUAACGUAGGGAAACUUACGCUAAUACCGCAUACGACCUACGGGUGAAAGCAGGGGAUCUUCGGACCUUGCGCGAUUGAAUGAGCCGAUGUCGGAUUAGCUAGUUGGCGGGGUAAAGGCCCAACAAGGCGACGAUCCGUAGCUGGUCUGAGAGGAUGAUCAGCCACACUGGAACUGAGACACGGUCCAGACUCCUACGGGAGGAAGCAGUGGGAAAUAUUGGACAAUGGGCGCAAGCCUGCUCCAGCCAUACGGCGUGGGUGAAGAAGGCCUUCGGGUUGUAAAGCCCUUUUGUUGGGAAAGAAAUCCAGCUGGCUAAUACCCGGUUGGGAUGACGGUACCCAAAGAAUAAGCACCGGCUAACUUCGUGCCAGCCGCCGCCGUAA
rnacentral:rRNA from 1 species